ACACCGCCCGUCGCUACUACCGAUUGAGCGUUUUAGUGAGGACCUCGGACUGCUGAGCUCGUGGUUAACUCCGUGUGCCUAGCGGAAAGACGUCCAAACUGUAGCGCUUAGAGGAAGUAAAAGUCGUAACAAGGUUUCCGUAGGUGAACCUGCGGAAGGAUCAUUAUCGGUUUUGUCCUUAACUUACGGUUGAGAAUGAUUCUGUUUUUUCGGUUUCCGCACUUGUGCGGAGCUUUGAGGACUACCAAGAGACCGUCUCUCUCUUGGACGCUUAGGCGUGUCCGCCAAGCCUCGGGCUAACGCCCAGGGCUGCUCGCAGCCGAUGCGUG
rnacentral:rRNA from 1 species